rnacentral:tRNA from 3 species
GGAGAGGUGGCCGAGCGGUCGAAGGCGCACGCUUGGAAAGCGUGUGUGCGUCUAGCGCGUACCGAGGGUUCGAAUCCCUCCCUCUCCG